rnacentral:rRNA from 1 species
GAUCCUGGCUCAGGAUGAACGCUAGCUACAGGCUUAACACAUGCAAGUCGAGGGGAAACGACAUCGAAAGCUUGCUUUUGAUGGGCGUCGACCGGCGCACGGGUGAGUAACGCGUAUCCAACCUGCCCAUCACUUGGGAAUAACCUUGCGAAAGUAAGACUAAUGCCCAAUGACAUCCCACGAAGGCAUCCGAAUGGGAUUAAAGAUUUAUCGGUGUACGAUGGGGAUGCGUUCCAUUAGGUAGUAGGG